UAAUUGAAGAGUUUGAUCAUGGCUCAGAUUGAACGCUGGCGGCAGGCCUAACACAUGCAAGUCGAGCGGUAACAGGGGAAGCUUGCUUCUCGCUGACGAGCGGCGGACGGGUGAGUAAUGUAUGGGGAUCUGCCCGAUAGAGGGGGAUAACUACUGGAAACGGUAGCUAAUACCGCAUAAUCUCUCAGGAGCAAAGCAGGGGAACUUCGGUCCUUGC
rnacentral:rRNA from 1 species